rnacentral:rRNA from 1 species
CGAAGGAUGCAAGCGUUAUCCGGAUUCAUUGGGUUUAAAGGGUGCGUAGGCGGACUUGUAAGUCAGUGGUGAAAUCUCUCAGCUUAACUGAGAAACUGCCAUUGAUACUGCAGGUCUAGAGUAUAGAUGACGUUGGCGGAAUAUGACAUGUAGUGGUGAAAUACUUAGAUAUGUCAUAGAACACCGAUUGCGAAGGCAGCUAACGAAACUAUAACUGACGCUGAGGCACGAAAGUGCGGGGAUCAAACAGGAUUAGAUACCCUGGUAGUCCGCACCGUAAACGAUGAUUACUCGUUGUUGGCGAUAUGACAGUCAGCGACCAAGCGAAAGCGAUAAGUAAUCCGACCUGGGGAGUACGCCGGCAACGGUG